UCAAUAGGAACUACGUGGCAAUUGAAGCUGAUUGGUUGAAAUAGUUCGGUAUAAACCAAUUACGUGUGCUAUACAAAAGCGCGCAGUGUAUUUUUUAUCGAACUCGUGUAUAAAUAUACUAUUUAAUAAAUCAAUAAUAAUUUAUAUUCGAAUGGAUUUUAAAAGAUGAAUUUAUCUAUAAAUAAUAAUUAUAAACAAAUACAUAAAAAUGUAUUUUUGUAAAAAAAAAAAAUCAGCAAGUUCAUUCGAUUAUUUCUUUUUUAAGCUUCAGCUAUUUCUUCGUUAACUCUGCUUUGGUUUUUAAAGAUAUUGAACCAAUAUUCCAUUUUCUCAAAGACAUUCUGUGUACGAUAUAGUUUUGGUCUAAGUGCCUUUUCAAUAUUCAGAGUCAAUAAAGUAGUAUCUUACAAUGUAUUACUUUAUGCUUUGCCACCUGCAUUCUCUAGCCUCGAUGGCACGUUUUUAAGAUCUUUUUAUCUAUCUUUUGUAUGCAUGUAUAUAGCAAAGUAGACAUUACCUGCACUAUCUAUUUUCUUCAUAUUUUACUGUUUUUACAAUCAUUUGUAGUACUACGAAAAUAUAACAUAGAAUAAGUAACAAUAGAGAAAGGUAAAUAUACCCACUUCAUAACGCCAUCUGGUGAGUAAAUGAUGAUAAUACUAAUUCAAAUUCGUUUACGAUUUUUCCAAUCUAAGAGAUCGUAACCAUAGACAUGAAAAUUACUUUUGAAUUAUUCUAUUGAAAGGUAUUAUAAAAGUAAUAUUGAAACAUUUAAUUAUAAACGCUUAUAAAAUUAUCUACAAAGAUAUAUUUUUUGUUUAAUCUCUUCGAUACGAUCAUUAACUUUUUUCUACUUAUUAAAAAUAAAUAUCUAGUAUAUAUCAAUUAAAUAAAUGUAUAAAAAAAUAAUCAUAGGCUUUGACCGAUUGAAUAGAAUUGAAUAAAACUUCUUAUAUCUACAAAUGAAA
rnacentral:lncRNA from 1 species